rnacentral:rRNA from 1 species
GGUUGAUCCUGCCAGUAGUCAUAUGCUUGUCUCAAAGAUUAAGCCAUGCAUGUCUAAGUAUAAACAUCUUUAUACAGUGAAACUGCGUACAGCUCAUUAUAUCAGUUAUUAUUUAUUUGAUGGUACCUUACUACAUGGAUACCCGUAGUAAUUCUAGAGCUAAUACAUGCGUAAAGUCCCGACUUUUUGGAAGGGAUGUAUUUAUUAGAUUAAAAACCAAUGCAGGCAACUGCUCCUUUGGUGAUUCAUAGUAACUUUAACGGAUCGCACGGCUUCACGCUGGCGACAGUUC